GAUGAAGAACGCAGCGAAAUGCGAUACUUGGUGUGAAUUGCAGAAUCCCGUGAACCAUCGAGUCUUUGAACGCAAGUUGCGCCCGAAGCCAUUAGGCCGAGGGCACGCCUGCCUGGGCGUCACACGUCGUUGCCCCCCCAUCUACUCCUUCGGGAUUGCGGGGGGCGGAUGAUGGCCUCCCGUGCGCCUCGCCGCGCGGUUGGCAUAAAUGCCAAGUCCUCGGCGACGCACGCCACGACAAUCGGUGGUUGCGAAACCUCGGUUGCCCGUCGUGUGCGGUCGUCGCGCAUCGAGGGCUCGAAAAAAUUGCCGGGUUCCGGCUCGGCUUUCAACGCGACCCCAGGUCAGGCGGGGUUACCCGCUGAAUUUAAGCAUAUCAAUAAGCGGAGGA
rnacentral:misc_RNA from 1 species